CCCCCCUGCUGCCGGCGGCGCCCCCGGGCCGCGGUGCAGCGAGCGCGCCCCGCGCUUGUGCGGCCCAUGGCAGCCCCGCCGCUGUGACCCUGGCUCCAAACACCGGCCACCUGCAGCCCAUAGCGAGCGGCUGCGCGCGCAGAAAUGCAUUUAUGCCCACGCAGGAGCUGUGCCUUGUCAGUACCGGAGGGCGUGGCCCGCCCGAGACCGGAGAAAAAGUGAUUUUUGGAAGGCACCACAGUUGGUCAUCUGGUCCAACCUCCCACCUCAAGCAGGGUCAUCCUAGAGCACAGAGCACAGGAUUACGUCCAAGUUCCUGAAUAUCUCCAGUGAGGGGGAUUCCACAACCUCUCUGGACAACCUGUUCCGGCGCUCGGUCACAGAUACAAUAAAGAAGUUCUCCUUCAUGUGCAGGUGGAACUUCCUGUGCAUCACUUUCUGCCCUUUCUUUAUUUGUCCUAUUUCUUGGCACCAUCAAGAAGGGCUCUGCUCCAUCCUCUGACACACUCCCUUGAUACACCAAUAGGCACUGGUGAGAUGAAUGAAGAUUAUAUUCCCGGGAAAAGAAUUCUCUGAGCAUGAGAACAGGCACAGAUUCUCACUGGGGCUUUGACUGGACCAGGUGGGCUCAUUGUUUGGGAAGGACUCACUACAAAGUGCCCUGAUGCUGUAAAAAAUUAAGCACUUUUUCACUGUUUGGGACUUUUUAAAUAUGCCUUUAGAAAGGUGCAAUACUACUGAAAAAUUACAGCCAGAAACAAACGAUGUCCUUUAUGACCACUGAAAGCACCUAAAUCUCUAGAUUUCUGUUCAUCUUCACACCAUGCAUCAGAGCACCACUGGGUUUACAGAAGGGUGGGGCAGAGGCAGUGGUGCAAGCAGAACAUUUCUCUCUCUGCCCCUUUGAGGCUUUCCUGGGGCUGAACUUGGGAAUGGUUUCCCAUGCACCCCAUGUGCCCAGUUCAGUUCUCCCAGCUGGACAGUAAGGCAGGGAGUCUGUGGCACUGCUUGCCUUGGAACGUGCUUGGGUGAAGCACUGGGACUGCUUAGGCUGUCUGACAGCUGCUUAUGCUUCUGGUUCAAGACAGCCAUGAGCAUUUUCCCUCCCUGACUCCUCUCACACUGGCUGCACAGCUUCUGUGGCCACACACACGGUGUCUCUUAGCAUGCAAGUGAAAUGAGGAAAUAAUCUUUUUUUUGCCAGAAAGACAUACAAAUAGAAUACAAAUAGAAUAUAUUUGAUUUUAAUUACUGCAAGACAGGAAUGCUUCCCGUCAAAACUGCCAGACUUCCAUGUAUCUCUCCUCCAUUCUAUUAAUUAUUUACCUUCAGUUUCAAUAAUAGAGUUAAGGGUACUAUAUAUAGCUUCUGCUCUAUCAAUAAAUCAUGCUUGUGUGUCUUCAUAUUUAUCCUAUAAAAUUAUGAGUACCAGCAUGCCUACAUGGUUUUGCUAAGGAAUUCCAGCAACGGAAUUCCCAGCAGUGCAUGUCUUGGAGUCUUUGGUGAUGAACUCAAAUAUUCCUCACUCAAUGAGAGCUAUUUUAUGAGACCUUUUUAUGAGAUUUUUUUUUUUAAUGAGCUCACCAGUCUUUUCACAAAUCCCAACAAUCUCCUUCAUCCCCUUCUUAUAGCUCUGUGCUGAUUUAAAACCCAGUGAGAAUAUUAAACCUACUUGAGCUGCUCCCUUUCCCCUGCCCCCUUCCGGUAGUGGAGGAAACACUAGGAGAGAUAUAAAUUUGAAUCACAGUUUACUGAAAAAUUGCAAUAACCACAACAAUAUUAAUAAAAGAGUGUACAAAAGAGUUUUUUACCCACAAAAGGAUAUUCACUACUGAACAAACAGAAACACUUCUCAAAGACCACAUCCCGUGUGGUUUUCCAAGACUAAGGCAAAAUGAUGGCUGGCCCUGUGCUGGGCAGCAUGGAGUAUAUGGGAAAACAAAAGCAGAAUGCUGGAAAGGCUUGCAAUUUAACUUUCCCCACUCAGAUUGAAAACAGUAGAGAACAGGGACAAGGCAAAACCUGGUGGAACCUGACAGGGCUCUAAGCAGGUCAGAGGACCCUCCUCCUAGGCCCAACUUUGUGGGAGCAGGACUGGAGAGCUUGGUGGUUCCAGCAGCAGCUCCAGUGGCUGCUGUCACAGCAGCUGAAGCCUGGGCUCCACACGGCUCAGCUGGGCACUGCCAUGCUACUGCUUUCUCUCUUUCCUUUUUCUCGGAGCAGCUCCCCAACUCUUGGGCUCACUGGCGCUGUCUUUGAGCACCAAACCAGAAAAGGCACAUGCCCGAGCAUAGCAAAAGAUUCCCACCCUUCUGCUUCCAGCCCCUGACUUCCUCCUGCUCCAACCACAAUCUUGCCAUGACACAAAUGGUAUGGAAUUAUACAGUGCUAGAAAUCCUAUCCCUUUCCUCUAUAACCAUAAUGAACUCAUCACAGUUUGACAUGACUUCUUGACCUAUCAUCAAACCCAAGAAUCCACACGGUAUCAUAAGGUCAAUGCACACAAGCCACCUUCCCCAUCCCAUAAAUCCAAGGCACUUUAGUACAUGUGAUCCACAAUCCAGGCUCAGUCCAUCAAACUAGUCUUUCAGUUGCAUUGCUUGAAACAGUUCUCCCGUUUGCUCAGCAAUCUCCUUCAUCUUCUGACGUGCCUCUUCUAUGGUGGUGGUGGCGUUAUGGACAGUGACACAGCAUUCUCCAGCCGUUAGGUUUAGCAUCCCACACACUCCAUUCUCUUUCAACAACAACAUAUCUAUGGCUAAUCGGUUCUGCAAAGCCAUUUCCGAUGCCUGCGGGGCCUGCGCAUUCGGUUCCCUGAGUGAGCGUCCAGUCCAGUUAUUUAACACAUGGACUUGCCUAGUUAAGUUUUCCAAGACAUACUUGUGCUGUUGGGUAACUCCACUGGACACAAAAAAUGAUUCUAAGUCUAAGGCAACAUUUUGUCCCCAGGUGUAAUAGUCAGGGACUUGAAUGCCCCGAAUCCACCCUUUUGCAUCUGUUGGUUUGUGGAUUUCUCUCUGCACUUUGUUGUUACGAUAAAGUGUAUAAUUGAACGUUUUAGAUGGACACAUGGUAGGAAACCCAAUAGUACACUGGAGUCCAGCCAUAUCAUACAUGUUCAAGUGGGAAUACAUUUUCCCAUCUGAACAUGCCCAUACUGUUCCCCGUGGAGCUGGAUAUUUGGCUUGUGAACACUGAUACAGGUCACCUUGGGGAACUUCCUGUGCUUCGCUACUUGAAUUCCAGACCCUUCUUCGGUCAGGGCCAUGUGUAAUGGGAAUGCCACAGGAUAGUGCUGUCUCUGAAUUUUCAUAAGACCCAUUGCAUCGGGUGUCUUGGUUCAGAUAGCCGUAGUUGGGAUAAUCCCAACAGGUACACAUGUCCCGGAUAAAAGUUCUCAGCUCCGAGAUGUACCAGGUUUCUAUAGGCUCACCUGCUCCUGUGGUACAAUCUAAUAUACGGGAACAAUUCAGAAAGGAGGUCUCUGAUUUACUUUGGGUAAGGCUUCUAUGGUUCCUCACUUUCCAACAGAUGCUCUCUCCAUUAGGUAGUAUGGUCUGAUGGUCCUUACAGUCUGAUUUCUCCACUUCCCAUUCUACUAUCUUCCCUGUGGGCACCCUGGAAGCCCAUUGUAGUGUAGAUAUAGGGUCAAAGAUUUGUUUCAGAGACCAGGCCCACUCAUAAUUUGUUCGGUUAACUUGGUGCACAGUUCCUGGGUUAUCUGGGAUUUGUAUACACCAUCCUGCAUCCCAAUGUAAAUUGUACUCAUGUUCAAAAAACCCACCCUCAGCAGGAGAAUCCCACCACGGUACCACUGUGCAAGGGAUAGAAGUGACAUUUUGCAAUGUCUCAGAAGGGUUGGUGUCUAAUGACCGAUAGCAUGUCUGAUUCCAUAAAUCACUCCAGGAAGAGUCACGUGGGAGCUGGUAAAAGGCGUUCUUGUAUUCUACCCAUGUCCCAUUUGCAUCCCACUGUUGUCCUUUCUGGUCUAGGAACUGGGACUCCACCAUCCCCCAGGUAACAUUUCCUCCUGGUUUUUUAAGGUUAUCCAGUUCUCUCGUUAAUAUGUCCGAAAAAUUUAACCAAAUCAUCAUAAAUCUAAACCCCUCUGAAGCUGAGUUGGGGAGGUUAAUACAUAUUCCUUGAUUGGUAUGAUUCCAAAUAUGCAUAAAUCCUUGUAUCAACUCCCAAGCUAAAUUUGGUUCAGUACUCUGAUUUUCAGUCGCUUGAGACAAAAUCAUACAUCCAUAACAUAAGAGAAAAAACUUUUCCCACACCAUUUUUUUGCUAGUGAAAAGGCAAAAUAGGCUUAGCAAAAUCAAACUUAAAAAUACACAAAAUGAUCCGUCCACUCAACAGAUGAAAUCAUAGGUCCAGCAGUGGAUUUCAGAUAAUCUGUAAAACAUAUACAUGUAUAAAAACAAAACAUGAUUAAAAGGAGGGAACAAUCCACCACCUGGUAGGAGAGUUAAGUGGCUUUUUUAAGGUCGGGGUACCAAUCCCACUCUUGGUAAUUCUGCCAAAACCAGCUGUCCUAACUCAUGGAGAGGAUUUGCAGGGUCUUUAGUUUCUUUUGUUCCAGGGAGCAUGGGUGGGGAUGAAGACAAAAGGCUGUGAGUUAUGGGCCCCCAUUAACUCCGCAGAAGCUACUGACUCCAGGUACCCCAUUUGACACCCUCUCGCCCAUCCGGGUUCCUGAGGCUUCAAGUUCCUCUUCAAGAGUCCAUUGGUGCAUUCAACAACCUCAUUUGCCUGGGGGUACUAUGGAGUGUGAAAGAUACACCAGAUUCCUUCAUCCUGUGCCCACUCUUGAACCACACUGGUAUGGGAGGAAGGAUUGUAGGAGAAUAGAAAUAGUGCUGAAGGCAAUCUCCCCCCUGAGCAGUUGCAGCUGUACUAAUUACCAAAGAGCAGGAACAGCCCUGCCCUUAAUAAGCCACAGCUAUGUCCAAUAAGGAUGGGUGUUAUAAAAGAGUGGGUUAGGUGACCAAGAAAAGAGCUGGAGUUUGUUGGCAGUGCUGUAAGGAGGAAGAGGUGGGUGUGCAAGGGACAGUAAGGGUUACACAGCUGUGCAGAAAAAAA